rnacentral:misc_RNA from 1 species
AAGUCGUAACAAGGUUUCCGUAGGUGAACCUGCGGAAGGAUCAUUAAAGAAUACAAAGCCCUCCGGGGGCCCUAUUCUCACCCUAUGUUUACCACACUUUGUUGCUUUGGCGGAAACGCCGGAGGACCGAAACCCUUGAAUCUCUGCUGUCUGAGUCACUAUAUAAUAGUUAAAA